CAGUAGCCGCGGUAAUACAGAGGGUGCGAGCGUUAAUCGGAUUUACUGGGCGUAAAGCGUGCGUAGGUGGUGGUUUAAGUCCGUUGUGAAAGCCCUGGGCUCAACCUGGGAAUUGCAGUGGAUACUGGGUCACUAGAGUGUGGUAGAGGAUAGUGGAAUUUCCGGUGUAGCAGUGAAAUGCGUAGAGAUCGGAAGGAACAUCUGUGGCGAAGGCGACUAUCUGGGCCAACACUGACACUGAGGCACGAAAGCGUGGGGAGCAAACAGGAUUAGAUACCCCCGUAGUCCCUGUCUCUUAUAC
rnacentral:rRNA from 1 species